GGCGAUGGCCCGCCAUGCCCAGGGGAAGUCCACCACCUGCGCAUGGACCACCCGGAUGUAGCGCUCAUAGGCCAGGGCUGCCAAAGUCAUGAUGGAAACGAUACCUGGCAGUGGAGGGAGACAGAUAGAUAGCUGUGGUUUGUCCUUCUCCAUGUGAGUGCGGGCCAAAGCAGUAGGACACCACAUCCUUUCUGCUCAGUGUCAUUUCAGUGAUGAAAGAACACACUUUUUAAGCUUUUGAUUUGAAAAUCUCCUCUGUGACAUUUUUUCAGUGAAAACCAGAUCAACACAGUUGGCAGGUAAACAUGUUCUUUAGAUCAUGUGCAAAGAAGCCAAUGUCAAGUAAAGGACAAUAAGAUGAUUGAAGAAGAGGGCAACAGUCCAGUGCAUCUCUGUGUUUAGUUUACUGAUAAAGCACCAAAGGAUUGAGGGUUUGCCCUAAUGAGCUCAUUAUCACACAUUCAUCCUCCUACAGGCGUGGGACCUGGAGAACAAACCCUUAGAGGACAAGUCACAGCUGAACACAGUUAUGCUUUCUAAUAAAUGUGUUACAGAAAAAUGGAUGCUGAGAUUAACAUUCCUCUGAAUGAAGCAAUGACCUGCAGAAUAUGCUCACUAACACACAUGCCGUUUCAUAAAGAAAGAAAGAAAUAGUAGGGGAGACCAGGGAUGGUUGUGACAAAGGGACGUUUGUAAAAGCACCACUUUCAUUCAAGAAGGGAUGACCUAAAAUUUGUGAUCAAUGUCAUGCAUGAGCGCUUCCUUCCUGACCUUGCAUGUGAAAUGUCACAUAUGUUUGAAGAAGUAUGCAGACAUUACAGCCAAAACACUGAUUUUCAUGUAAGAAGGUAUUUUUUGGAUAAAGUCUAUAUUUCGAUUAAUACUUAUACAGUUGACGUUAGAAUUCUAUGAAACUUUUAUUAGAUUAGUACACUAGCCAUGAGGGUCAAAACACAACAACAUUUUACAAUUCAAUUCAAAUUAGCUUUAUUGGCAUGAAUGUGUAACAACAAUAUUGCCAAAGCAUCAUACAAACUACAUACAAUAAACCCCCCAUGACAUUUCAGAUUACAGCAAGAGAGUAGAAUUAGGUAGGGACAGUAGGGACAUGUCCCUUCCAAUAUCCAGUAAAUAAUGAAUUGUCUCUAGCACUAAUUUUGAUUUAAAAAAUUCUAAAUUAACACCGUCAGUGUCAAUGUAUUUGUUACGCAACGGUUAAUAUAAACCAAAAGUUGUUGUUGUAGAGUAUUAGGGCCACUGUUAGUGGUAUAGUAAUCUGAAAUGCCGUUGUGUUUUCAGAAAUGUUGUUCUUUUGUGCAAUAAUAUUUUGUGCAAUGUUGUUAUUUCAUGAAAUAUUUUUAUUUUGUGAAAUGUCGUUAUUUUUUGAAAUGUCGUUAUUUUUUGAAAUGUCGUUAUUUUUUGAAAUGUCGUUAUUUUGUCAAAUGUUAUUUUGUGAAUUGUCGUUAUUUUGUGAAAUUUUAUUUUGUAAAAUGUUAUUCUGUGAAAUGUUAUUUUUUGAAAUGUUGUUAGUUUGUGAAAUGUUAUUUGUGAAAUUUUGUUUUAUGUACUGUUGUUAUUGUGUGACAUGUCAUUAUUGAGUGAAAUUUUCUUUUGUGAAAUGUUACUUGUGAAAUUUUGUUUUAUGUAAUGUUGUGAAAUGUUGUUAUUGUGUGAAAUGUCAUUAUUGAGUGAAAUUUUCUUUUGUGAAAUGUUAUUUGUGAAAUGUAAUUUUGUGAAAUAUUGUUAUUUUUUGAAAUAUUGUUAUUUUUUGAAAUAUUGUUAUUUUUUGAAAUAUUGUUAUUUUGUGAUAUUUUGUUUUGUGAAAUGUCAUUGUUUAGUGAAAAGUCAGUGGUGAGUUGUUUUUGUUCUCUGAUGGGACCACACUGCUCAAGUAUUGCGACAUGGACAAUUAUUUUCUUCAGAUGCAUUUUUGUGUUGUGGUCUCAAUUUCUGUCUGCAGGGCAGGUUGUAACUCUGGAACUCCUUAUAGUUGACAUCAAUUAAUAAGUUAUGUGAUUAAGUUGGAGAAGUUGGAAACAAAGCUAUUUGUAGUGGUCAAAUUGGGGUACUUUCUGUCAAACUUCGAGAGCUCUAACACAAAAAUUCAGUGUUACAACCAUCCCCGGUCUCCCCUAUAAUAUAGGCUAUAUUAUUCAAUUUAAUUCAAAGCUUUAUUGGCAUGAAUGUGUAACAACAACAUUGCAAAAGUGCAAUCUACAUAAGAACAAUCAACCCCAUACAUUUCAUUUAACAAGUAGCAUCAGUAUCAGUACCUAUAUUAUUCAAACGGUUUCAAGGUCUUUAGAUUUUACUGCAGCUCAUUAUGAAGUGAGACUGGAUGGUCAGUAAACUGUUUUUGACCCAAUCUGUAUUUUAACCGGCCACAUAUUCUGUGAGGAAGUGUGCACAAUAGCUAUAUGAUGCUCAGCUUUAGCCUAUAUUUACAUACAUUUUAUAAUAAAUAAAUAUUUUUUUAUUUGGAAUAUACUUUAUAGUAAUAUAUUGUGGAUGAGCUCAUCUCUGCCUUCUACAUAUUUGCAUUACGUUAUGGUGCAUUUAUUAUGGAUUAUGUCAGAAUCCGAUUUUAGUAGAUAAGUGAGAAACGAGCAAUUAUGGGGAAAUAGAGGUAAAGCUGAAAUACAUUUGUCUUGAACUAAUUGUUUAAAAAGUUUAAACAACAAAUGACAACAGCCUAUUGAUGAAUGUGAAAUACACGCUUGUAAAAUAAA